ACCUGCUAGUCCGGGCUCGCCGAGGAGGCCGCCUCGCCGGGCUCUCACCGCCGCGCCCGCCCGAGCGGCUCAGAGGGCUUCGAGGGCUCCGAGGUCGCCCAGCAGCCGCGGUGGCCCCGCUGCCUGCAAGUCCGCCUGGCUCCGUGUCACGUGUCAGUGCCCGAGGCAGAGACUGAGAAAAAAACGCGCUUCAUUCCUUCUUCCACCGCCAUACUGUAUUUUCCUAAAUCUCAUUUUUAUUCCAACAUUUUACUCCCGCUCGGUGAGUACCUUCUCAGUGGCAUUCUUGUCCUAUUCUUUUUUUUUUCCUUUUUUUUGUUUUUGUUUUUUGUUUUUUUCUUCUUCUUCUUCUUUUUUUUCUUCCCACUUCUUUGAUUAUUGUUUGUAUUUGGGAAAGCUGACGAGCAUAGUCUUAAGCCUUUUCCUCAAUCAAGUUUUCCUAGCAUGCGAUGGUUCUCUAGACAAGGCGCUGUGUCUGGGAGUCCGCGGCAGCGGUGCUCUCUGUGAGCGGCUCCCAAGUCCAGCAAAAUGUGCAACUGGUUUUAUGGAAAAAGCGUUGUGAAGUAUGGUGCCUAUUUUUUUUCCCUUUGUAAAGAUAAGAAAGCAUGUUUCUAACUCUUUUUUUACGUACUCUUUUUCCGAUUGCAUUUUUGUGUAGGUGGGAUUUUCCAGCAGUGUUCACAAGUUUGUCGCCUUGCAAUUCGAUUCGCACCACUGAGCAAAGACAUUCAUUUUGCAUUUUUAUGACCUUUUUGGAAGCCUGUGAGAAAUAUUUCGUUUUUUCCCCUCCUGUUUUUGAUAUCAGUUGAUAACAUGAAACUUUUCUUGCAGCUAGUUAAAGGGGUUAUUUUUAAGCAAUUGCUUUUUUCCUCCUUUACAUUAACUAUUACUUUUGCACAUUUGACUUUUUUAUUUAAAAAACCCGAGAUAAUUUUAUGAUAGAUAUCCUGAUAUCUAUAUUAUCCCUUGUUCCUCCUUCUCCCCUCCCCGUAAAUCAAUUUUCAAACCAUGGCAGUGGAAGGUUUUUCUGGAAAAAAAAAAAAUGAAGUGCGGUUUGGUUUCCUUGUCAACGGAGGAUGAAGUGAACAGCACAACAGCUCGCAGAGAGCAGG
rnacentral:lncRNA from 1 species